GGGGCGUGAGGCGGGCAGUCGCCGGCCGCCGCCGCCCGCGCACUGCCGCGCGCGCUCUCUGCGCCCGCGCGUCGCUCGGCGCUGACUAGCCGGCCAGGGCGCUGCGGUACCCCGAGCUCUCGUUACCAUCAUUUUGGGUACCGGGCAGCUCCAUGUCACCACGUGCAGUUCGUGUGUCCGGUUCCACGGCUACGUGUUACGAUACCGUGCGGCGUGAGUUUGUUCACAUAUCAAAUCGCCGGAUACGUCGUUUUCUGCGCAGGUACUGCUGUCAAUGGACUCUUUCUCUAUCAACCACAUCGAGUCGAAGAGCGAACGUCGAUCAUCACAACCAUAAGCAACCAUCGCUGAUGUCCUUUCAUCGUUGAUUCAUCGCUGUAUAAGUGUGAAGAUGAACUCCGUGCUACGAGCCACAGAGCGAGCGGAACGGGCAAGUUACGGAAAUUAAAUAAAGCUCUAAGCAUAAUAACAGCCUAUUUGAAAAAUGAAGAGAUAACUUCAAACGUUUAC